UGGUGCUGCUUCGCACCUAAGAAUGAAUUGAUAAUGAAUGGUAUUAAGUCCUAUAUGAUUCUCAAUCUGUCAGCAAUGAGGGUUGGUACAGUAGUGUUGAGUCUGAAUGUAGAUUUAUGUUUAAAGCUCCCUGAUCAUACAGCUUUUCACUCUAAAGAAUAUUAGACUUUAAUGUCUCAGUAAGGUCUCUAAAUUUUCAUCCCAUAAAACCCUUUAGAUCGUCCACACUGCCCCUGUCAAUAUGUUGUUUUCACUCUCCAUCAGCAAACGCUGUGUUUUCUGGGCGUGUCGCAAGCGAAGCUGCUCACUACACCUCUGUGCGGAAGCGCAUACCUUUUUUGUUGUUGUUUUUUUUUUAAAUUGGCUCCAUGGAUACGAGCCACCGCACGGUUACGAUACAAUAGGUGGCAGUAGUGCGACAUUGAGAAUGCAAUCCACCGCAAUCCUCCACAGAAGAAGAAGACCCACUACAGAACUGCACGACAUUAGUCAGCUGGUUCUGAGCGUAGUAGAACCAUACGUCUACGAUCCAGAAUCUGACCCUGAAGCUGAAGAGGAGGCUGUUGAAGUCGCCACAUUUCGGCUGAUGCAAGAUGUGUCUCAUUGUUGUUACAGGUAUCUAAUCUACAGAGGCUAGUGAGCUGGUGCUGAGGAUUCCUAGGGUGAAGAAUCUGAGUUGCCAUCUCUUCAUGCUUGGGUUGUAGAUGAAGGCAGAGUUUCCUGAUGGAUAAAACACUAAAACACUCAUUGUAUGAUGGAUGUAAACCACCUGUGGAAUAACUCCUUUACCAUUUGAGUAAAAAUGUGUUUUUUGUGAGUGCAAUACUCACAUAAUUUUUUUAUUUUUUAUUUAUAUAUAAUUUAUAUGCUUUUUAUUUAUGGCCGCUUCAACUUUAUAGCUUACCAUAUUAGAAAGAGAAAAAACAUGUAAUUUCAAUACUAUGAUUUCCUGAAUAAAAGUGUUUUCC